rnacentral:rRNA from 1 species
GAACGCUAGCGGCAGGCUUAACACAUGCAAGUCGAGGGGCAGCAUGACGGAACCUUCGGGUUUGUUGAUGGCGACCGGCGCAAGGGUGCGUAACGCGUGAGCAACUUGCCCGUUUCAGGGGGAUAACCGGUGGAAACGCCGACUAAUACCCCAUGGUAUCAUAUUCAGGCAUCUUUAUAUGAUUAAAGAAUUUCGGAAACGGAUAGGCUCGCGUGACAUUAGCUAGAUGGCGGGGUAACGGCCCACCAUGGCGACGAUGUCUAGGGGUUCUGAGAGGAAGGUCCCCCACACUGGAACUGAGACACGGUCCAGACUCCUACGGGAGGCAGCAGUGAGGAAUAUUGGUCAAUGGUCUGACGACUGAACCAGCCAUGCCGCGUGAAGGUGACGGCCCUAUGGGUCUUAAACUUCUUUUGCAAGGGAGCAAUAAGCCUCACGUGUGGGGCGAUGAGAGUACCUUGCGAAUAAGCAUCGGCUAACUCCGUG